CUUUAGCUGUAACUCCGGCGGGCGUGUUGGGUGUGUCGUUUUAGGCUCUGUGACCCAGGAGCAAGACGCAAUAAGCGGGUGCAGUGGAGGUAGAAACGGGAAAUGCAGUACCCUUUCCGGAAGCUACUCCGCCCCUCGACAGAGUCUUGCUGUGUCGCCCAAGCUAGAGUGCAGUGGUGUCAUCUGGGCUCAUUGCAACCUCCGCUUCCUGGAUUCAAGCAAUUCUCAUGCCACAGCCUCCCAAGUAGCUGGGACUACAGAUGGAAUCUCACUCUGUCACCCAGGCUGGAGUGCAGUGGCGCAAUCUCAGCUCACUGCAACCUCUGCCUCCCUGAUUUAAGCGAUUCUCCUGCUUCAACCUCCCGAGUAGCUGGGACGACAGGCGCGCACCACCAUGCCCAGGAACCUGUGGUGAUAAGGAAGAUGUGAGCCUGGAGAUACAGAAGCUACCACAUGAAUGUUAAAAAUGAAGCUGACGCAGCAAAAGGCAGUGCCAAGGAACUAAAAGAAAACAAAUUUUGAUUACAUUUUUGGAGUUCCUGGGUCAAGCAGUUCAUGACACUGAGGCUUUUCCGCUACAUGAAUAAGUACUUUUUCUUUCCCGUUAAAGUGGGUUUGUGCUGGCUUCUCUAUCACUCACAACAACUGGAUACUAACUGAGGCAACACUUCCUACCUCUUACACACAUUACACCCAUAAAACAGAAACAACAUCUAAAAUUAGAUUUCAACACAGCUACCAAGCAGAAAAGUUCAAAUCAACAAGUUAUGGAUAAUGUUUUAUUGAAACUACAUUUCUCCUCCCAAUGUGAGUAUGGUGUUGGCCAACAUGUUGCGUGUUGAUUCUGCUUGCCUUUGUGUCCUACAUAUAGGAUGUGUACUGUGUAAUGAAUCGUUUCUUCAUUAUUUUUCUCAGCUUGCAUGGUUGCCUCCCUCACCUCCAUUCACAGAGCUCACUGUGACAGCAUUCAACCUUGUCUUGGUACAAGUGUGUAAUUUACAUAAUAGUCGCCUCUGUACUUUCCUCAGUAACUUAAACAAAGAAGACCAUCACUCACUGUGCUUGCCUUUCAAAUUAGAUUUGAUAUCAAAUUAAAGUCUCAUUUUAUUAAGUUUCUGAAGCCAAAGUCUUUGACCUAUGAAAGUAUGUUUCAAUUAUGAAUGGAAAAGAGAAGCUUUGUGUUAUUAACAGGAAAAGAAUUCAAGUGUGAUGGUUGUGUCAAUGCCAUUGGGACAUGCCAGUAGUCAGUAACUCAACAGACAAGCCUGCUAGACCUGCUUUACUCAUUUGUGGCGCUGUUUCUUCACUUUCUACUGACUCCCACCUGUGUUUCAUAAUUCUCUACAUUGAUAUGGUUUAUUACUUCUCAUAGGGAUCUUAAAUUAAUUGUGCAACUCGUUAGAGUCUCUUUAUGUAAAAUACAUAGUCUUCAUACUAUUAGAAUGUUACAAUCUGGACCUACCAAUGUGAACAAGUGAAAAAAUGUGCUGUUUAUUUUAACCAGCAGUGGUGUUUUAGUUAGCUAUUUAUCUCCUUAUCUCCCAAAUCUCAAAAACACUCAGUAGUUUACAACAUGAAGCUUUUUUUUUUUUUUUUUUGCUUACAGGUCUGUGGGUCAGCUGGGAUAACUCUGCUUCAGACUGUGGGUCAUCUUGGCUUGGCAGACUUUAGGUUAAACAUAAGACUGUGUGUCUCAUUCUGGGGCCCAGACUGAAGGGAUAGCAGCUAGCUGGUGCAUGCUGUCUUCGUGGCAAUCACAGGGGUGCGAGAGGCGGAGCUGAAGGACGCAAGCACAUUUAAGUCUUUUGCGUGUGUCAUGUUCAAUGACAUUCCAUGUCCAGAGCCAGCUACAUGGGUGGAUCAUGAAUAGAGGGGAGAAAUACACCCCACCCACUUCAGUGAGCUUUAGGUUUACAUGACUGAGGGAUGGAGGGAAGAAUUUUGGACAAUAAUCUCAUCUAGUACAUAUGGCUUCAAUUUGUAUGAACCCUAUCUCUACUCCUCCAACCUUCUGAUCUCAACUGCUAUUGCUAAUAUGACCUGUGGGAGCGAGAGGACUUUCUAUAACUAGGCUGAAUUUUAAAGGAAGAGAAUGACUUCCAGAUAGCUUAUUGGCUAUCAAUCUAGGAGCUCUUACAGCUGAGAAACAUUUUGACCCAACCCUCUGGCUUCUUUGUUGAUUUAUUUUUCUGAUAAAAUUCAUUUUUUUAAAUAUUAAGCUUUAAGAAGUACAUGUGUUUUAAUGCAGUAAAAAAUAAAGCAUAUAUGAUUCAAUCAUUUGUAAAUAUACAGUAUAACUAGUAAGAAAUAAGGGGUCUCAUUCACACCCAGAUUUAUAGGAGCCAGCACUAUGUGCUCGGUAUAUAAUAGAAGCUCAGUUAGUAUUUGUUGAUUGAAGUACCUUUUCUUAUUUACUAAUGAUUAUUAUUAACAGAUAAUAAUUUGGGCCUGAAAUAGACAUUUCCUUUUUUAAUAUAAUUAUAUAUAUGUGCAUAUAUAUAUCAUCAAUAUCCUCUGACUUUAUUAGUGACUGUUAACCACGUCGAAAAAAGUAAAGGUGUUUAUUAUGCAUGCAUAGAAAAAUGAUAUGUUUGUGUUCGCUCUUUUUAGGACCAAGAAAAAAUUAUUGGUUGCUGUUUUCUCAGUUUUGGUUUUUUUUAAAAUAAAUUUUACUGUGUGUAUUUG
ensembl:lncRNA CCDC28A-AS1 CCDC28A antisense RNA 1